GAUGAACGCUGGCGGCGUGCCUAAUACAUGCAAGUCGAGCGAACAGACGAGGAGCUUGCUCCUCUGACGUUAGCGGCGGACGGGUGAGUAACACGUGGAUAACCUACCUAUAAGACUGGGAUAACUUCGGGAAACCGGAGCUAAUACCGGAUAAUAUAUUGAACCGCAUGGUUCAAUAGUGAAAGACGGUUUUGCUGUCACUUAUAGAUGGAUCCGCGCCGCAUUAGCUAGUUGGUAAGGUAACGGCUUACCAAGGCAACGAUGCGUAGCCGACCUGAGAGGGUGAUCGGCCACACUGGAACUGAGACACGGUCCAGACUCCUACGGGAGGCAGCAGUAGGGAAUCUUCCGCAAUGGGCGAAAGCCUGACGGAGCAACGCCGCGUGAGUGAUGAAGGUCUUCGGAUCGUAAAACUCUGUUAUUAGGGAAGAACAAAUGUGUAAGUAACUAUUCACGUCUUGACGUUACCUAAUCAGAAAGCCACGGCUAACUACGUG
rnacentral:rRNA from 1 species